CACGUAGGGGGCAAGCGUUGUCCGGAUUCAUUGGGCGUAAAGAGCUCGUAGGCGGUUCGAUAAGUCGGGUGUGAAACCUCCAGGCUCAACCUGGAGACGCCACCCGAUACUGUCGUGACUAGGGUCCAGUAGGGGAGCGUGGAAUUCCUGGUGUAGCGGUGAAAUGCGCAGAUAUCAGGAGGAACACCAGUGGCGAAGGCGGCGCUCUGGGCUGGAACUGACGCUGAGGAGCGAAAGCGUGGGGAGCGAACAGG
rnacentral:rRNA from 1 species